rnacentral:hammerhead_ribozyme from 1 species
AUCCGGUUGACGAGUCUCAGAUAAGAUGAAACGCGUGUCCUGGAU